UCUCAAGUCGGUGGUGGCCUCAUCAAUUCUCAAGGGCAUUCCUAUUGCCCCAGAUAAGGCGAAAAGGAACCCCUUCGCACGUAAAUGUACUGGAAGCAGAGGGAACGAUACCCAUACGGGAACUAUCGGAGUCUCUUGCUCAGGUGUAAAGUCACAUGUCCACUUAAGGACUCUCAUCGGACAACCAUCAAUAUACCAUGAAGGUUUAAGAAAAAGCCUGCUGUAAUCCUCCUCAUGUGUAAGGUGUAUAAGAAUGUGUGUUGUGUCAAUCAAUCCCACCUCGAAACAACCAUGGAACCCAAACUUUGAAAAAAUCUCACGUACCUUCCUCAUGGUUGGCUUGCGAUGUGGAAAUUUCCCCACAAGUGUAUACUUGUAAGGAUCAGCGAGUGUAGCCUCCUCGGACUCAGUCAAAACUAUUGCCGGCUCACCCAUAUGUAUAAAGGGUUCUUUAGCAGCAAACCCAGCAGUGGAAGAGUCAUCUAUACCCUGUAUAAUCGAUGCAAACGACUUUCGUGAACUCCGUUCAGCUUGAGACAGGGGUUUAGGGUUUAGGGGUUAAGGUUUAGGGUUUAGGGUUUAGGGUUUAGGGUUUUAGGGUUUUAGGGUUUAGGGUUUAGGUUUUUUUUUUUUUUUUUUUUUUUUUUUUUUAAGCAAAUGCCACUAGUGUGGUUUAUUUUAUAUAAUGAAAAGCGGGAAUACAAAGAGAGGAGGGGGGCAUCGACCUGACCUCCAGCAAAUGUAAAUUGUAACAAAUAUCUGAAGAUAAAAUGCAAUCAUAGUAAACAAGACACAAACAAAAACUAAUGAAAGGUACUCAUGGGUAUUCCCGAGGGUAAAUCUUCGGGUGGUAGUACAUAGACAUUGAUCGNNNNNNNNNNNNNNNNNNNNNNNNNNNNNNNNNNNNNNNNNNNNNNNNNNNNNNNNNNNNNNNNNNNNNNNNNNNNNNNNNNNNNNNNNNNNNNNNNNNNNNNNNNNNNNNNNNNNNNNNNNNNNNNNNNNNNNNNNNNNNNNNNNNNNNNNNNNNNNNNNNNNNNNNNNNNNNNNNNNNNNNNNNNNNNNNNNNNNNNNNNNNNNNNNNNNNNNNNNNNNNNNNNNNNNNNNNNNNNNNNNNNNNNNNNNNNNNNNNNNNNNNNNNNNNNNNNNNNNNNNNNNNNNNNNNNNNNNNNNNNNNNNNNNNNNNNNNNNNNNNNNNNNNNNNNNNNNNNNNNNNNNNNNNNNNNNNNNNNNNNNNNNNNNNNNNNNNNNNNNNNNNNNNNNNNNNNNNNNNNNNNNNNNNNNNNNNNNNNNNUCAGCAAAUGAGAGAUGUGAGACAAGAGCACUACCUCCAUGUCGAUAACACAUACUGGGAUACUGCUGAAACCUCUGAGUGAGCAAGCGUGAGAAGUAGUCUGCUGCAAUGAUGAACAAGGAUGGGGAGAUAGGAUCACCCUGUCUGAGUCCUCGUGAGGAGGGAAAGAAACCACAUGGGCGGCCAUUUAGGAGUACGGAGAAACGACACUCCGAAACGCACCGCCUGAUUCUGUCAAUCCAGAUCUGAUCAAAUCCAAAUGCCUCCAAUACAGAAUAAAUGAAGCCCCAGUCCAUGCGAUCAUAUGCUUUAGCCAUGUCUAACUUCAGCAUAGUGUUUCCCCCUCGCACUCUAUCAUCCAAAGUGUAGAGAAGCUCCUGAGCCAAUAAAACAUUAUCUCCAAUCAGACGGCCUGGGAUGAAACCACUCUGUGGAGGGGAAAUAAUGCGCGGUAGCAGUGUACUCAACCGAGUGUUCAAAAGCUUAGUAAUAAUCUUAUUGAACACAGUGCAUAAGCUGAUUGGCCUGAAUUCAGUCCAUCUGCAAGCACCAUCCUUCUUAGGUAGCAAGACAAUAGAAGUAGCAGCAAAACCCCGUGGAAGAUGACCACCAUCAAAGAAGUCCAAUACCGCCCUGUAAACAUCCUCCUGAAUAAUAUCCCAACCGUUGUGGGUUUAGCUCACGAUUUCGUAAUGACGUAUUAGGGUUUUCAUCCUUUUUUUGAAGAACGACCACUCGCAUAUUUUUAACGCUUGGAUUUUCGACCUUCGAAGAAAUGAGCGUAACUUAUGCAAACGGUGUCCGUUUCGGGCCCAUAAGUACUUUUCGGAAAUGUAGGGACCCUUUUGGACUGCACUAACAACUUCGUCAUGACGUUUGAGGAAUUUUGACCAUUUUAUGAAGAACAUGCACCUGCAUAUUUGGAUUGACGUUGUUCGAAGAAUUGAGCAUAACUUUUACAGACGUGUCCUUUAUGCGACCAUAGGUACUUUUUGGAAAUGUUGCGACCGUUUAGGGUUUAGCUCACGAUUUCGUAAUGACGUAUUAGGGUUUUCUUCCUUUUUUUGAAGAACGACCACUCGCAUAUAUUUUAACGCUUGGAUUUUGAACCUUCGAAGAAAUGAGUGUAACUUAUGCAAACGGUGUCCGUUUUGGGCCCAUAAGUACUUUUCAAAAAUGUAGCGACCCUUUUGGACUGCACUCACAACUUCGUCGUGACGUAUGAGGGAUUUUGACCAUUUUUUGAAGAACGUGCAGCUGCAUAUUUGGAUUGACAGCGUUUGAAGAAUUGAGCAUAACUUUCGUAGACGGUGUCCGUUUUGGGACCAUAAGUAGUUUUCGGAAAUGUAGCCACCGUUGUGGGUUUAGCUCACGAUUUCGCAAUGACGUCUUAGGGUUUUUGUCCUUUUUUUGAAGAACGACCACUCGCAUAUUUUUAACUCUUGGAUUUUCGACCUUCGAAGAAAUGAGGGUAACUUAUGCAAACGAUGUCCGUUUCGGGCCCAUAACUGCUUUUUCGAAAUGCAGCGACCCUUUUGGGCUGCACUCACAACAUCGUCAUGACGUAUGAGGGAUUUUGACCAUUUUAUGAAGAACGUUCACCUGCAUAUUUGUAUUGACGUUGUUCGAAGAAUUGAGCAUAACUUUUGCAGACGGUGUCCGUUAUGAGACCAUAGGUACUUUUCGGAAAUGUUGCGAACGUUUAGGGUUUAGCUCAUGAUUUCGUAAUGACGUAUUAGGGUUUUUGUUCUUUUUUGAAGAACGACCACUCGCAUAUUUUUAACGCUUGGAUUUUUGACCUUCGAAGAAAUGAGCGUAACUUAUGCAAACGGUGUCCGUUUUGGGCCCAUAAGUACUUUUCGAAAAUGUAGCGAUCCUUUCGGAUUGAACUCACAAAUUCGUCCGGACGUAUGAGGGAUUUUGACCAUUUUAUGAAGAACGUGCACCUGCAUAUUUGGAUUGACGUUGUUCGAAGAAUUGAGCAUAACUUUUGUAGACGGUGUCCGUUAUGCGACCAUAGGUACUUUUCGGAAAUGUUGCGAACGUUUAGGGUUUAGCUCAUGAUUUCGUAAUGACGUAUUAGGGUUUUCGUCCUUUUUUUGAAGAACGACCACUCGCAUAUUUUUAACGCUUGGAUUUUCGACCUUCGAAGAAAUGAGCGUAACUUAUGUAAACGGUGUUCGUUUUGGGCCCAUAAGUACUUUUCGGAAAUGUAGCGACCCUUUUGGACUGCACUCAUAGCUUCGUCGUGACGUAUGAGGGAUUUUCACCAUUUUAUGAAGAACGUGCACCUGCAUAUUUGGAUUGACGUUGUUUGAAGAAUUGAGCAUAACUUUUGCAGAUGGUGUCCGUUAUGCGAACAUAAGUACUUUUUGGAAAUGUUACGACCAUUUAGGGUUUAGCUCACGAUUUCGUAAUGAUGUAUUAGGGUUUUUGUCCUUUUUUUGAAGAACGACCACUCGCAUAUAUUUUAACGCUUGGAUAUUCGACCUUCGAAGAAAUGAGCGUAACUUAUGCAAACGGUGUCCGUUUUGGGCCCAUAAGUACUUUUUGAAAAUGUAGCGAUCCUUUUGGAUUGAACUCAUGACUUUGUCGUGACGUAUGAGGGAUUUUGACCAUUUUUUGAAGAACGUGCAGCUGCAUAUUUGGAUUGACAGCGUUUGACGAAUUGAGCAUAACUUUUGCAGACGGUGUCCGUCUUGGGACCACAAGUAGUUUUCGAAAAUGUUGCAAUCGUUGUAGAUUUCGCUCACGAUUUCGUAAUGACGUAUUAAGGUUUUCGUCCUUUUUUGAAGAACGACCACACGCAUAUUUUUAACGCUUCAAUUUUUGACCUUCGAAAAAUGAGCGUAACUUAUGCAAACGGUGUCCGUUUCGGGCCCAUAAGUACUUUUCGGAAAUGUAGCGACCCUUUUGGACUGCACUCACAACUUCGUCGUGACGUAUAAGGGAUUUUGACCAUUUUAUGAAGAACGUGCACCUGCAUAUUUGGAUUGACGUUGUUCGAAGAAUUGAGCAUAACUUUUGCAGACGGUGUCCGUUAUGCGACCAUAGGUACUUUUCGAAAAUGUUGCGACCGUUUAGGGUUUAGCUCACGAUUUCCUAAUGACGUAUUAGGGUUUUUGUCCUUUUUUUGAAGAACGACCACUCGCAUAUUUUUAACGCUUGGAUUUUCGACCUUCGAAGAAAUGAGCAUAACUUAUGCAAACGGUGUCCGUUUUGGGCCCAUAAGUACUUUUCGAAAAUAUACCGAACCUUUUGGAUUGAACUCACAAAUUCGUCGUGAUGUAUGAGGGAUUUUGACCAUUUCAUGAAGAACGUGCACCUGCAUAUUUGGAUUGACGUUGUUCGAAGAAUUGAGCAUAACUUUUGCAGACGGUGUCCGUUAUGGGUCCAUAAGUACUUUUUGAAAAUGUUGCGACCGUUUAGGGUUUAGAUCAUGAUUUCAUAAUGACGUAUUAGGGUUUUCAUCCUUUUUUUGAAGAACGACCACUGGCAUAUUUUUAACGCUUGGAUUUUCGACCUUCGAAGAAAUGAGCGUAACUUAUGCAAACGGUGUCCGUUUUGGGCCCAUAAGUAAUUUCGGAAAUGUAGCGACCCUUUUGGAUUGAACUCACAACUUCGCCGUGACGUAUGAGGGAUUCUGACCAUUUUAUGAAGAACGUGCACUUGCAUAUUUGGAUUGACGUUGUUCGAAGAAUUGAGCAUAACUUUUGCAGACGGUGUCCGUUAUGCGACCGUAGGUACUUUUCGGAAAUGUUGCGACCAUUUAGGGUUUAGCUCAGGAUUUCGUAAUGACGUAUUAGGGUUUUCGUCCUUUUUUUGAAGAACGACCACUCGCAUGUUUUUAAGGCUUUGAUUUUCGACCUUCGAAGAAAUGAGCGUAACUUAUGCAAACGGUGUCCGUUUUGUGCCCAUAAGUACUUUUCGGAAAUGUAGCGACCCUUUUGGAUUGAACUCACAACUUCGUCGUGGCAUAUGAGGGAUUUUGACCAUUUUUUUAAGAACGUGCUGCUGCAUAUUUGAAUUGACAGCGUUCGAAGAAUUGAGCAGAACUUUUGCAGACGGUGUCCAUUAUGCGACCAUAGGUACUUUUCGAAAAUGUUGCGACCGUUUAGGGUUUAGCUCACGAUUUCCUAAUGACGUAUUAGGGUUUUCGUCCUUUUUUUGAAGAACGACCACUCGCAUAUUUUUAACGCAUGAUUUUUCGACCUUCAAAGAAAUGAGCGUAACUUAUGCAAACGGUGUCCGUUUUGGGCCCAUAAGUACUUUUCGGAAAUGUGGCGACCCUUUUGGACUGCACUCACGACUUCAUCGUGAUGGAUGAGGGAUUUUCACCAUUUUAUGAAGAACGUGCACCUGCAUAUUUGGAUUGACGUUGCUCGAAGAAUUGAGCAGAACUUUUGCAGACGGUGUCCGUUAUACGACCAUAGGUACUUUUCGAAAAUGUUGCGGCCGUUUAGGGUUUAGCUCACGAUUUCGUAAUGACGUAUUAGGGUUUUCGUCCUUUUUUUGAAGAACGACCACUCGCAUAUUUUUAACUCUUGGAUUUUCGACCUUCGAAGAAAUGAGCGUAACUUUUGCAAACGAUGUCCGUUUUGGGCCCAUAAGUACUUUUCGGAAAUGUAGCGACCCUUUUGGAUUGAACUCACAAAUUCAUCUUGACGUAUGAGGGAUUUUGACCAUUUUUUGAAGAACGUGCAGCUGCAUAUUUGGAUUGAUGGCGUUCGAAGAAUUGAGCAUAACUUUCAUAGACGGUGUCCGUUAUGGGACCAUAAGCACAUUUCGGAAAUGUAGCGACUGUUUUGGGUUUAGCUUUUUUUUUUUUUUUUUUGGUAAAGACAUCCACACAUCCUUAGUGACUUUUUAGGGUCCACCCAGGAAGGUCGAUGGGGGUUAAGGGUUUCCCAACCAUAUUUAUUUCAUAAAAAUCAAGAAUACACGGAAGGAGGGGGCAUGAACCUGACCUCCAAAAAGCAGUGAUGCAACAAAUGAAUGUAAUAAAUGAAAGCAAUAAAUGAGGAAGUACUACUUCCCUAUACAAUAAAGAAUAGCCUAAAUUACGAACCUCUAAAACUGGGCAAUCCAUGUCUGUCGAUCCGCACUAUCGCCCUAAAUUUCACCUAAAUUUUGUUGGUUGGUGCAUUUCCAACCAAAUUUGACUAAAAUUUUAUUCCGAUUUUGUUUAUUGGCACGUUUCUAAUCAAAUUUGACUGAAACAACACACGGAUUUAGUUCAUCGGCAUAUUUCUCAUCAAAUUUGACUAAAAUUUCACACGAGUUUGGUUAAUUGAUCCGUUUCCAAUCAAAUUUGUAUGAAAAUUUUCCUAAUUUUAGUUCAUUAUUGCAUUUCCAAUCAAAUUUGACUAAAAUUUCACCUGGGUUUAAUUCAUUUUAGCGUUACCAAUCGAAUUUGACUAAAAUUUCACCUAAAUUUAGUUCUUUGGUGUGUUUCUAUUCAGACUUGACUGAAAUUUUACCUGAAUUUUGUUUGUUGGUGCGUUUCCAAUAAAAUCCGACUAAAAGUUUUCCUGCUCUUGGUUUAUUGGUGCGUUUCCAAUCAAAUUUGACUAAAAUUUGACCUGGGCUUAGUUCUUCGACGUGUUUCAAUUCAAACUUGACUAGAAUUUUACCUGAAUUUUGUUUGUUGGGGGUAUUUCCAAUCAAAUUUGACUAAAAUUUCAUCGAAAUUUCGUUCAUUGGUGUUUUCGAUCAAAUUUGACUGAAAUAUCACCUGGGCUCAGUUAAUUAGCGCAUUUGUAAUCAAAUUUGGUUAAAUUUUCAUCUUUGUUUUGUUCAUUAGUGGGAUUCCAAUCAAAUUUGACUAAAAUAUCACCUGGGUUUAGUUCUUUGGCCCUUUUCCAAUCAAAUUUGACAAAAUUUCACUUGGAUUUAGAUCGUUGGCGUGUUUUCAAUCAAAUUUGACUAAAAUAUCGCCUAGGUUUUUAGUUCAUUGGCACUUUUUCAAUCAAAUUUGGCUAAAAUUUAUCUGAGUGUUAUUCAUUAGCACGAUUCCAAUCAAAUUUGAAUAAGUUCUUUUCUAGAUUUAGUUUAUUAUCGUGUUUCCAAUCAAAUUUUUCAAAAAUGUCACAUGGGUUUAGUUCAUUGGUUGACUAAAACUUCCUCUGAGUUUAGUUCUUUAGUGUGUUUCUAUUCAGACUUGGCUAAAAUUUCACCUAAAUUUUGUUCCUUGGUGCAUUUUCAAUAAAAUCUAACUAAAAUUUUUCCUAUGCUUUGUUCAUUGGCAUGUUUUCAAUUAAAUUUGACUAACACUUCACGUGGGUUUAGUUCAUUGGCGCGUUUCCAAUCAAAUUUAACUAAAAUUUCACCUGAGUUUUGUUCAUUGGCGCGUUUCCAAUAGAAUUUGACUGAAAUAUCAUCUAGGCUUAGUUCAUUGGCACGCUUCUAGUCAAAUCUGAUUAAAAUUUCACCUGAAUUUUGUUCUUUAGCACGUUUCCAAUCAAAUUUGGCUAAAAUUUCCCCUGCAUUACGUUCAUUGGCGCGUUUCCAAUCAAAUUUGACUAAAAUAUAACCUAGGUUCAGUUCAUUAGCACAUUUCCAAUCAAAUUUAACUAAAAUUUCACUCGAGCUUAGUUCAUCGGGGCAUUUCCAAUCCAAAAUUUGAUUAAAAUUCACAUGAGUUUGGUUCAUUGGCGCGAUGCAGAUCAAAUUUGACUAGAAUUUCACCAGGGUUUAGAUAAUCGGCAUGUUUCUAUUCCGACUUGACUAAAAUUUUAUCUGAAUUUUUUUUGUUAGUGCAUUUCCACUUAAAUUUGACUAAAAUUUUCUUGAGCUUAGUUCAUUAGCAUUUUUUUAAUCAAAUUUGACAGCAAUUUCACCUGGGUUUAAUUCAUUGGCAUGUUUUCAAUCAAAUUUGACUAAAGAUUCAUCAUGGUUUUCUUCAUAGGCUCAAAUUUGGCUAAAAUUUCACNNNNNNNNNNNNNNNNNNNNNNNNNNNNNNNNNNNNNNNNNNNNNNNNNNNNNNNNNNNNNNNNNNNNNNNNNNNNNNNNNNNNNNNNNNNNNNNNNNNNNNNNNNNNNNNNNNNNNNNNNNNNNNNNNNNNNNNNNNNNNNNNNNNNNNNNNNNNNNNNNNNNNNNNNNNNNNNNNNNNNNNNNNNNNNNNNNNNNNNNNNNNNNNNNNNNNNNNNNNNNNNNNNNNNNNNNNNNNNNNNNNNNNNNNNNNNNNNNNNNNNNNNNNNNNNNNNNNNNNNNNNNNNNNNNNNNNNNNNNNNNNNNNNNNNNNNNNNNNNNNNNNNNNNNNNNNNNNNNNNNNNNNNNNNNNNNNNNNNNNNNNNNNNNNNNNNNNNNNNNNNNNNNNNNNNNNNNNNNNNNNNNNNNNNNNNNNNNNNNNNNNNNNNNNNNNNNNNNNNNNNNNNNNNNNNNNNNNNNNNNNNNNNNNNNNNNNNNNNNNNNNNNNNNNNNNNNNNNNNNNNNNNNNNNNNNNNNNNNNNNNNNNNNNNNNNNNNNNNNNNNNNNNCUCGCAUAUUUUUAACGCUUGGAUUUUCGACCUUCGAAGAAAUGAGCGUAACUUAUGCAAACGGUGUCCGUUUUGGGCCCAUAAGUACUUUUCGGAAAUGUAGCGACCCUUUUGGAUUGAACUCACAACUUCGUCGUGACGUAUGAGGGAUUUUGACCAUUUUAUGAAGAACGUGCACCUGCAUAUUUGGAUUGACGUUGUUCGAAGAAUUAAGCGGAACUUUUACAGACGGUGUCCGUUAUACGACCAUAGGUACUUUUCGAAAAUGUUGCGACCGUUUAGGGUUUAGCACACGAUUUCGUAAUGACGUAUUAGGGUUUUUGUCCUUUUUUUGAAGAACGACCACUCGCAUAUUUUUAACGCUUGGAUUUUCGACCUUCGAAGAAAUGAGCGUAACUUAUGCAAACGGUGUCCGUUUUGGGCCCAUAAGUACUUUUCGGAAAUGUAGCGACCCUUUUGGACUGCACUCACAACUUCGUCGUGACAUAUGAGAGAUUUUGACCAUUUUAUGAAGAACGUGCACCUGAAUAUUUGGUUUGAUGGCAUUCGAAGAAUUGAGCAUAACUUUCGCAGACGGUUUCCGUUAUAGGACCAUAAGUACUUUUCGGAAAUUUAGCGACCAUUUUGGGUUUAGCUCACGAUUUCGUAAUGACGUAUUAGGGUUUUCGUCCUUUUUUUGAAGAACGACCACUCGCAUAUUUUUAACGCUUGAAUUUUCGACCUUCGAAGAAAUGAGCGUAACUUAUGCAAACGAUGUCCGUUUUGGGCCCACAAAUACUUUUCGGAAAUGUAGCGACCCUUUUGGACUGCACUCACAACUUCGUCAUGACGUAUGAGAGAUUUUGACCAUUUUAUGAAGAACGUGCACCUGAAUAUUUGGUUUGAUGGCAUUCGAAGAAUUGAGCAUAACUUUCGCAGACGGUGUCCGUUAUAGGACCAUAAGUACUUUUCGGAAAUGUAGCGACCAUUUUGGGUUUAGCUCACGAUUUCGUAAUGAAGUAUUAGGGUUUUCGUCCUUUUUUUGAACAACGACCACUCGCAUAUUUUUAAAGCUUGGAUUUUCGACCUUCGAAGAAAUGAGCGUAACUUAUGCAAACGGUGUCCGUUUUGGGCCCAUAAGAACUUUUCGGAAAUGUAGCGACCCUUUUGGACUGCACUCACAACUUCAUCGUGACGUACGAGGGAUUUUGACCAUUUUAUGAAGAACGUGCACCUGCAUAUUUGGAUUGACGUUGUUCGAAGAAUUGAGCAUAACUUUUGCAGACGGUGUCCGUUAUGCGACCAUAGGUACUUUUCGGAAAUGUUGCGACCCUUUAGGGUUUAGCUCACGAUUUCGUAAUGACGUAUUAGGGUUUUCGUCCUUUUUUUGAAGAACGACCACUCGCAUAUUUUUAACGCUUGGAUUUUCGACCUUCAAAGAAAUGAGCGUAACUUAUACAAACGGUGUCCGUUUUGGGCCCAUAAGUACUUUUCGAAAAUAUAGCGACCCUUUUGGAUUGAACUCACAACUUAGUUGUGACGUAUGAGGGAAUUUGACCAUUUUUUAAAGAACGUGCAGCUCCAUAUUUGGUUUGAUGGCGUUCGAAGAAUUGAGCAUAACUUUCGCAGACGGUGUCCGUUUUGGGACCAUAAGUAGUUUUCGGAAAUGUAGCGACCGUUUUGGGUUUAGCUCACGAUUUCGUAAUGAUGUAUUAGGGUUUUCGUCCUUUUUUUGAACAACGACCACUCACAUAUUUUUAACGCUUGGAUUUUCGACCUUCGAAGAAAUGAGAGUAACUUAUGCAAACGGUGUCCGUUUUGGGCCCAUAAGUACUUUUCGAAAAUGUAGCGACCCUUUUGGAUUGCACUCACAACUUUGUCGUGACGUAUGAGGGAUUUUCACCAUUUUAUGAAGAACGUGCACCUGCAUAUUUGGAUUGACGUUGUUCGAAGAAUUGAGCAUAACUUUUGCAGACGGUGUCCGUUAUGCGACCAUAGGUACUUUUCAGAAAUGUUGCGACCGUUUAGGGUUUACCUUUUUUUUUUUUUUUUUUUUUUAUUUUUAAGCAAAUACCACUAGUGUGGUUUCUUUUAUAUAAUGAAAAGCGGGAAAAAAAAUAGAGGAGGGGGCAUGGACCUGACCUCCAGAAAAUGUAAAUUGUAACAAAUAUUUAAAGAUAAAAUGCAAUUUCAGUAAACACGACACGAACAAAAACUAAUGAAAGGUACUCAAGGGUAUUCCCGAGGGUAAAUCUUCGGGUGGUAGUACAUAGACAUUGAUCGAGUCAUGCGUCUAGUUUGAAACAUUUCCGGAUCAUAGUAGUCUGCGAUGUCUGCCUCGCUCGUUGGAGAGGGGUCUCGCCUGCGUGUAGGAGCCUGCUUUGUUGAUAAGUACUGUUCAGAUGGUGGUGCAUUCAAUGACGGGCGAAAAGCGGGUGCAUAUGAUCUCAUUGUACUAGUCAUAGGUGCGUCUAAUCUCAUGGUGUUUUGUGCUACGACAUCUGAAUCAUGGGAGAUUGACCUGCUUGCUGUAGGGACAUCGUCCUCUGCAUUUUGCAUGCAGUUUCCAAGGCCCAUGCCAUCCAUGUCUCUCUGUAUAUGUUAUUUCACCUUAUGGUGUGUAGGAGCUGUGAUAGAAGGACUAGGUAAAGGUGUAUGCGUAGGAGUCUUACUCACAGAAGGUCCCUCUCCAAAGAGCUGAAAAACCAAGUCCUCAAUAGCAAAUCUCAUGGUAGAUCCAACUUUCAUUCCAUGGUCCUUCUUAAAGUGAUCAAUUAGCAUAUGCUUGACACCAUGUCGCUCUGAGCUGAUCUCAGCCAACAACCCCUGUGCAAGAGUGGUUUGAGGAACUUUCCCGAUACCUGAUCCCUGCGCUGACUGAGUACCAUCUGUGUGUGUCUUCAAUGGUGGAGAACUCAUAUGCAUCGGCUCAGGGGGUACAUCAAUAGUAGCUGUGGGAAUAGGAGCUAUGGAAGUAAUAAUAGGAGAAGUGGGUACCUCGAUAGGAGCAUUUGGAGUAGGCUCAACAACUGAAUAAAUAUACGGAGGUACCUCUGGAUCAACUGUGAUACGAGUAGAGGUAGGAACUGUCGAUGCAGAUUCUGACUCUGUCACAACUGCGGUAGUAGUAGUGGGUAGCACAAAAGGCACUGCUGAAACUGGAACCCACUGCUUCUUUGGCUCCACAAACGUCACCUUGCCCUUAUCCUUAUCAGUCCUAGUAAUAGGGGGCCAAACAGGGGGGUGCACAACAACUGUAGGAGGAGGAGGGGGAACUGUAGUACACUGAUCAUAAGAAUGACCCAAGUGUUUACAAGAGAAGCAAAAAAUUGGCCGCUUCUCAUAGAUAACUGUCUACCAGAAGCCACGAUUACCAGCACGCUCAAUCCAAACCCUGUCGGGCAACUUAUGCUCCAAAUUCACCUCAAUGCACACCCUUGCCUCACUAGGUCGUCUCAAGUCGGUGGUGGCCUCAUCAAUUCUCAAGGGCAUUCCUAUUGCCCCAGAUAAGGCGAAAAGGAACCCCUUCGCACGUAAAUGUACUGGAAGCAGAGGGAACGAUACCCAUACAGGAACUAUCGGAGUCUCUUGCUCAGGUGUAAAGUCACAUGUCCACUUAAGGACUCUCAUCGGACAACCAUCAAUAUACCAUGAAGGUUUAAGAAAAAGCCUGCUGUAAUCUUCCUCAUGUGUAAGGUGUAUAAGAAUGUGUGUUCUGUCAAUCAGUCCCACCUCGAAACAACCAUGGAACCCAAACUUAGAAAAAAUCUCACGUACCUUCCGCAUGGUUGGCUUGCGAUGUGGAAAUUUCCCCACAAGUGUAUACUUGUAAGGAUUAGCGAGUGUAGCCUCCUCGGUCUCAGUCAAAACUAUUGCCGGCUCACCCAUAUGUAUAAAGGGUUCUUUAGUAGCAAGCCCAGCAGUGGAAGAGUCAUCUAUACCCUGUAUAACCGAUGCAAACGACUUCCGUGAACUCCCUUCAGCUUGAGAUAGGCCCGGACGGCCAGAAACUGCAGUAGCAUAGGUCUUUCGGCCCUGAUUGAGCACUGUCUGGGCCUCAUGUGGAAAAACCGAUGACGAAAAUGGAUUCAGAUUAACUGGAAGAACAUUUUGAUCAAAAGUUGCCGGAGGACCACCGGAACGCCGCCGGCCGGCCGCUAGCGGCUCCGUUUUCCGGCCAAAAUCAACCGGAGGCAGAAUUUUAUGAUUUUCAACAGUCAUGUGCCAAAUUUCAUGCUGAAUAAUACGGUCAGGCACAUUUCCCAACGUGAGAACCGUAGAGGCCGAAAAUCGUAAUUUUUUGACAAACUGCCCGUUUACGUUUGGUGCCAUAACAGGAGCGUCCGACCUCCGAUUGUAGUGAUUUUUUAACCAAAGGUUUACCAUUUCAUGGGAAUUCGGAAUAUCUGGCGCGUGUCCCUGUUGGACCAUCGUACGAGAAUUAAUUCCAAAAUCAGUUUUUGGCUGCACUUUUUCCAAAGCUUCAAUUCCGACGAAAUUGGACGUCAAGGACACCACCCCAAGGGUUUUUGGGCCUUCUGAGUUCAUUGGUGGUGGUCCCAUAUCCAAAUUCUGAUCAGAAGUGGACAUUUCGAUAACAUUGAGAUUCGUGCCAUGAUUUUUCAAACUUAGAUCUAUUGAGUUGGUUGAUGAAUCUGAUAUUGGUAUUAUAGGAGAUGUUUGGAUGGUUGUUGGUGAUGAUUUUCCACCACUUGGAGUGCUACAAUCCGGUGGUUUUGGUGGUGGAUCGAGUUUAUUGGAGUGUUGGUGGUUUUCUCCCAUUCUAGAGAGAGGAGAGAGCUUUUUAGGCUAGCUAGCAAGAGUUCUUCCCGUUUAGGGUUUAGCUCACGAUUUCGUAAUGACGUAUUAGGGUUUUCGUCCUUUUUUUGAAGAACGACCACCCGCAUAUUUUUAACGCUUGGAUUUUCGACCUUCGAAGAAAUGAGCGUAACUUAUGCAAACGGUGUCCGUUUUGGGCGCAUAACUACUUUUCGAAAAUGUAGCGACCCUUUUGGAUUGCACUCACAACUUCGUCGUGACGUAUGAGGGAUUUUGACCAUUUUUUGAAGAACAUGCAGCUGCAUAUUUGGAUUGACGGCGUUCGAAGAAUUGGGCAUAACUUUUGCAGACGGUGUCCGUUAUGCGACCAUAAGUAUUUUUGGAAAUGUUGCAACCGUUUAGGGUUUAGCUCACGAUUUCGUAAUGACGUAUUAGGAUUUUUGUCCUUUUUUUGAUGAACGGCCACUCGUAUAUAUUUUAACGCUUGGAUUUUCGACCUUCGAAGAAAUGAGCGUAACUUAUGCAAAAGGUGUCCGUUUUGGGCGCAUAAGUACUUUUUGAAAAUGUAGCGACCCUUUUGGAUUGAACUCACAAAUUUGUCGUGACGUAUGAGGGAUUUUGACCAUUUUAUGAAGAACGUGCUCCUGCAUAGUUGGAUUGAUGGCGUUCGAAGAAUUGAGCAUAACUUUUGCAGACGGUGUCCGUUAUGCGACCAUAAGUACUUUUUGGAAAUGUACUUUUUGGAUUUUCGACCUUCGAAGAAAUGAGCGUAACUUAUGCAAACGGUGUUCGUUUUGGGCCCAGAAGUACUUUUUGGAAAUGUAACGACCCUUUUGGAUUACACUCACAACUUCGUCGUGACGUAUGAGGGAUUUUGACAAUUUUUUGAAGAAUGUGCAGCUGCAUAUUUGGAUUGACGGCGUUCGAAGAAUUGAGCAUAACUUUUGCCGACGGUGUCCGUUAUGCGACCAUAACGGUGUCCAUUAUGAUGUCAUUAUGAAAUCGUGAGCUAAACCCAAAACGGUCGCUACAUUUCCGAAAAGUACUUAUGGUACCAUAACGGACACCGUUUGCGAAAGUUAAGCUCAAUUCUUCGAACGCCAUAAGUACUUUUUGGAAAUGUUGUGACCGUUUAGCGUUUAGCUCACGAUUUCGUAAUGACAUAUAAGGAUUUUCGUCCUUUUUUUGAAGAUCGACCACUCGCAUAUAUUUUAACGCUUGGAUUUUCGACCUUCGAAGAAAUGAGCGUAAGUUAUGCAAAAGCUGUCCGUUUUGGGCCCAUAAGUACUUUUCGGAAAUGUAGCGACCCUUUUGGAUUGCACUCACAACUUCGUCAUGACGUAUGAGGGAUUUUGACCUUUUUUGAAGAACGUGCAGCAGCAUAUUUGGAUUGACGGCGUUCGAAGAAUUGAGCAUAACUUUUGCAGACGGUGUCCGUUAUGACGUCAUUAUGAAAUCGUGAGCUAAACCCAAAACGGUCGCUACAUUUCCGAAAAGUACUUAUGGUACCAUAACGGACACCGUUUGCGAAAGUUACGCUCAAUUUUUCGAACGCCAUAAGUACUUUUUGUAAAUGUUGUGACCGUUUAGCAUUUAGCUCACGAUUUCGUAAUGACAUAUUAGGAUUUUCGUCCUUUUUUUGAAGAACGACCACUCGCAUAUAUUUUAACGCUUGGAUUUUCGACCUUCGAAAAAAUGAGCGUAAGUUAUGCAAAAGCGUCCGUUUUGGGCCCAUAAGUACUUUUUGAAAAUGUAGCGACCCUUUUGGAUUGAACUCACAAAUUUGUCAUGACGUAUGAGGGAUUUUGACCAUUUUAUGAAGAACGUGCUCCUGCAUAUUUGGAUUGAUUGCGUUCGAAGAAUUGAGCAUAACUUUUGCAGACAGUGUCCGUUAUGCGACCAUAAGUAAUUUUCGAAAAUGUUGCGACCGUUUUGGGUUUAGCUCACGAUUUCGUAAUGACGUAUUAGGGUUUUCGUCCUUUUUUUGAAGAACGACCACUCGCAUAUUUUUAACGCUUGGACUCUCGACCUUCGAAGAAAUGAGGCGUAACUUAUGCAAACGGUGUCCGUUUUGGGCCCAUAAGUACUUUUCGGAAAUGUAGCGACCCUUUUUGAUUGAACUCACCACUUCGUCGUUACGUAUGAGGGAUUUUGACCAUUUUUUGAAGAAUGUGCAGCUGUAUAUUUGGAUUGACGGCGUUCGAAGAAUUGAGCCUAACUUUUGGAGACGGUGUUCGUUAUGCGACCAUAAGUACUUUUUGGAAAUGCUGCGACCGUUUAGGGUUUAACUCACAAUUUCGUAAUGACGUAAAAGGAUUUUCAUCCUUUUUUUGAAGAACGAUCACUCGCAUAUUUUUAACGCUUGGACUCUCGACCUUCGAAGAAAUGAGGCGUAACUUAUGCAAACGGUAUCCGUUUCGGGCCCAUAAGUACUUUUCGGAAAUGUAACGACCCUUUUGGAUUGGACUCACAACUUCGUCGUGACGUAUGAGGGAUUUUGACCAUUUUAUGAAGAACGUGCACCUGCAUAUUUGGAUUGACGUUGUUCGAAGAAUUGAGCAUAACUUUUGAAGACGGUGUCCGUUUUGGGACCCUAAGUAGUUUUCAGAAAUGUAGCGACCGUUGUGGGUUUAGCUCACGAUUUAGUAAUGACGUAUUAGAGUUUUCGUCCUUUUUUUGAAGAACGACCACUCACAUAUUUUUAACGCUUGGAUUUUCGACCUUCGAAGAAAUGAGCGUAACUUAUGCAAACGAUGUCCGUUUUGGGCCCAUAAGUACUAUUCAGAAAUGUAGCAACCCUUUUCGACUGCACUCACAACUUCGUCGUGACGUAUGAGGGAUUUUGACCAUAUUAUGAAGAACGUUCACCUGCAUAUUUGGAUUGACGUUGUUCGAAUAAUUGAGAAUAACUUUUGCAGACGGUGUCCGUUAUGCGACCAUAGGUACUUUUCAAAAAUGUUGCGACCAUUUAGGGUUUAGCUCACGAUUUCGAAAUGACGUACUAGGGUUUUCGUCCUUUUUUUGAAGAACGACCACUCGCAUAUUUUUAACGCUUGGAUUUUCGACCUUCGAAGAAAUGAGCGUAACUUAUGCAAACGGUGUCCAUUUUGGGCCCAUAAGUACUCUUCAGAAAUGUAGCGACCCUUUUGAAUUGCACUCACCACUUCGUCGUGACGUAUGAGGGAUUUUGACCAUUUUAUGAAGAAUGUGCACCUGCAUGUUUGGAUUGACAUUGUUCGAAGAAUUGAGCAUAACUUUUGCAGACGGUGUCCGUUAUGGGACCAUAAGUAGUUUUCGAAAAUGUUGCGACCGUUUAGGGUUUAGCUCAUGAUUUCGUAAUGACGUAUUAGGGUUUUCGUCCUUUUUUCGAAGAAUUACCACUCACAUAUUUUAAACGCUUGGAUUUUCGACCUUCGAAGAAAUGAGCGUAACUUAUUCAAACGGUGUCCGUUUUGGGCCCAUAAGUACUUUUCAAAAAUGUAGCGACCCUUUUGGACUGCACUCACAACUUCAUCGUGACGUAUGAGGGAUUUUGAUCAUUUUAUGAAGAACGUGCACCUGCAUAUUUGGAUUGACGUUGUUCGAAGAAUUGAGCAUAACUUUUGCAGACUGUGUCCGUUAUGCGACCAUAGGUACUUUUUUUUUUUGUAAGGACAUCCACACAUCCUUAGUGAAUUUUUAGGGUCCACCAAGGAAGGUCAAUGGGGGUUAAGGGUUUCCCAACCAUAUUUAUUUCAUAAAAAUCAAGAAUACACGGAAGGAGGGGGGCAUGAACCUGACCUCCAAAAAGCAGUGUGCGACGAUAAGUACUUUUUGGAAAUGUUGCGACCGUUUAGGGUUUAGCUCACGAUUUCGUAAUGACGUAUUAGGGUUUUCGUCCUUUUUUUGAAGAACGUCCACUCGCAUAUAUUUUAACGCUUGGAUUUUCGACCUUCGAAGAAAUGAGCGUAACUUAUGCAAACGGUGUCCGUUUUGGGCCCAUAAGUACUUUUCGAAAAUGUAGCAACCAUUUUGGAUUGAACUCAAAACUUCGUCUGACAUAUGAGGGAUUCUCACCAUUUUAUGAAGAACGUGCACCUGCAUAUUUGGAUUGACGUUGUUCGAUGAAUUGAGCAGAACUUUUGCAGACGGUGUCCGUUAUGCGACCAUAGGUACUUUUCGAAAAUGUUGCGACCGUUUAGGGUUUAGCUCACGAUUUCGAAAUCACGUAUUAAAGUUUUCAUCCUUUUUUUGAAGAACGACCACUCGCAUAUUUUUAACGCUUGGAUUUUCGACCUUCGAAGAAAUGAGCAUAACUUAUGCAAACGGUGUCCGUUUUGGGCCCAUAAGUACUUUUCGGAAAUGUAGCGACCCUUUUGGAUUGAACUCACAACUUCGUCGUGACGUAUGAGGGAUUUUGACAAUUUUUUGAAGAACGUGCANNNNNNNNNNNNNNNNNNNNNNNNNNNNNNNNNNNNNNNNNNNNNNNNNNNNNNNNNNNNNNNNNNNNNNNNNNNNNNNNNNNNNNNNNNNNNNNNNNNNNNNNNNNNNNNNNNNCACGAUUUCGUAAUGACGUAUUAGGGUUUUCGUCCUUUUUUUGAAGAACGACCACUCGCAUAUUUUGAACGCUUGGAGUGUCGUCCUUCGAAGAAAUUAGCGUAACUUUUGCAAACGGUGUCCGUUUUGGGCCCAUAAGUACUUUUCGGAAAUGUAGCGACCCUUUUGGAUUGAACUCACCACUUCGUCGUGACGUAUGAGGGAUUUUGACCAUUUUAUGAAGAACGUGCACCUGCAUAUUUGGAUUGACGUUGUUCGAAGAAUUGAGCAUAACUUUUGCAGACGGUGUCCGUUAUGCUACCAUAGGUACUUUUCGGAAAUGGUGCGACUGUUUAGGGUUUAACUCACAAUUUCGUAAUGACGUAUUAGGGUUUUCGUCCUUUUUUUGAAGAACGACCACUCGCAUAAUUUUAAUGCUUGGAUUUUCGACCUUCGAUGAAAUGAGCAUAACUUAUGCAAACGGUGUCCGUUUUGGACCCAUAAGUACUUUUCGAAAAUGUAGCGAUCCUUUUGGAUUGAACUCACGACUUCGUCGUGACGUGUGAGGGAUUUUUACCAUUUUAUGAAGAACGUGCACAUGCAUAUUUGGAUUGACGUUGUUCGAAGAAUUGAGCAUAACUUUUGCUGACGGUAUCCGUUAUGCGACCAUAGGUACUUUUCGGAAAUGUUGCGACCGUUCAGGGUUUAGCUCAUGAUUUCGUAAUGACGUAUUAGGGUUUUCGUCCUUUUUUUGAAGAACGACCACUCGCAUAUUUUUAACAGCUUGGAUUUUCGACCUUCGAAGAAAUGAGCAUAACUUAUGCAAACGGUGUCCGUUUUGGGCCCAUAAGUACUUUUCAGAAAUGUAGCGACCCUUUUGAAUUGCACUCACAACUUCGUCGUGACGUGUGAGGGAUUUUGACCAAUUUAUGAAGAACGUGCACCUGCAUAUUUGGAUUGACGUUGUUCGAAGAAUUGAGCAUAACUUUUGAAGACGGUGUCCGUUAUGCGACCAUAGGUACUUUUCGGAAAUGUUGCGACCAUUUAGGGUUUAGCUCAUGAUUUUGUAAUGACGUAAUAGGGUUUUCGUCCUUUUUUUGAAGAACGACCACUCGCAUAUUUUUAAUGCUUGGAUUUUUGACCUUCGAAGAAAUGAGCGUAACUUAUGCAAACGGUGUCCGUUUUGGGCCCAUAAGUACUUUUCGAAAAUAUAGCGAUCCUUCUGGAUUGAACUCACGAAUUCGUAGCUACGUAUGAGGGAUUUUGACCAUUUUUUGAAGAACAUGCAGCUGCAUAUUUGGAUUGACAGCGUUCGAAGAAUUGGGCAUUACUUUUGCAGACGGUGUUCGUUUUGGGACAAUAAGUAGUUUUCGAAAAUGUAGCAACCGUUGUGGGUUUUGCUCACCAUUUCGUAAUGAUGUAUUAGGGUUUUCAUCUUUUUUUUGAAGAACGACCACUCGUGUAUUUUUAACGCUUGGAUUUUCGAUCGUCGAUGAAAUGAGCAUAACUUAUGCAAACGGUGUCUGUUUCGGGCCCAUAAGUUCUUUUCGGAAAUGUAGCGACCCUUUUGGACUGCACUAACAACUUCGUCGUGACAUAUGAGGGAUUUCGAUCAUUUUAUGAAGAACGUGCACCUGCAUAAUUGGAUUGACGUUGUUCGAAGAAUUGAGCAUAACUUUUGCAGACGGUGUCCGUUAUGCGACCAUAGGUACUUCUCGGAAAUGUUGCGACCGUUUAGGGUUUAGCUGACGAUUUCGUAAUGACGUAUUAGGGUUUUCAUCCUUUUUUUGAAGAACGACCACUCGCAUAUAUUUUAACGCUUGGAUUUUUGACUGUCGAAGAAAUGAGCGUAACUUAUGCAAACGGUGUCCGUUUUGGGCCCAUAAGUACUUUUCGGAAAUGUAGCAACCCUUUUGGACUGCACUCACAACUUCGUCGUGACGUAUGAGGGAUUUUGACCAUUUUUUGAAGAACAUGCAGCUGCAUAUUUGGAUUGGCAGCGUUUGAAGAAUUGAGCAUAACUUUCGGAGACAGUGUCCGUUUUGGGACCAUAAUUAGUUUUCGAAAAUGUAGCAACCGUUGUGGGUUUAGCUCACGAUUUCGUACUGACGUAUUAGGGUUUUUAUCCUUUUUUUGAAGAACGACCACUCGCAUAUUUUUAACGCUUGGAUUUUCGACCUUCGAAGAAAUGAGCGUAACUUAUGCAAACGGUGUCCGUUUCGGGCCCAUAAGUACUUUUCGGAAAUGUAGCGACCCUUUUGGACUGCACUAACAACUUCGUCGUGACGUGUGAGGGAUUUUGACCAUUUUAUGAAGAACGUGCACCUGCAUAUUUGGAUUGACGUUGUUCGAAGAAUUGAGCAUAACUUUUGCGGAUGGUGUCCGUUAUGCGACCAUAAGUACUUUUCGGAAAUGUUGCGACCAUUAAGGGUUUAGCUCACGAUUUAGUAAUGACGUAAUAGGGUUUUUGUUUUUCUUGUGAAGAACGACCACUCGCAUAUUUUUAAUGCUUGGAUUUUCGACCUUCGAAGAAAUGAGCGUAACUUAUGCAAACGGUGUCCGUUUUGGGCCCAUAAGUACUUUUCGAAAAUGUAGCGAUCCUUUUGGAUUGAACUCACGACUUCGUCGUGACGUAUGAGGGAUUUUGACCAUUUUUUGAAGAACAUGCAGCUGCAUAUUUGGAUUGACAGCGUUUGAAGAAUUGAGCAUAACUUUCGUAGACGGUGUCCGUUAUACGACCAUAGGUACUUUUCGAAAAAGUUGCGACCGUUUGGGUUUUAGCUCACGAUUUCGUAAUGACGUAUUAGGGUUUUCGUCCUUUUUUUGAAGAACGACCACUCGCAUAUUUUUAACUCUUGGAUUUUCGAUCGUCGAUGAAAUGAGCGUAACUUAUGCAAACAGUGUCCGUUUCGGGCCCAUAAGUACUUUUUGGAAAUGUAGCGACCCUUUUGGACUGCACUCAUAGCUUCGUCGUGACGUACGAGGGAUUUUCACCAUUUUAUGAAGAACGUGCAGCUGCAUAUUUGGAUUGAUGGCGUUCGAAGAAUUGAGCAUAACUUUUGCAGACGGUGUCCGUUAUGGGGCCAUAAGUACAUUUCGAAAAUAUAGCGACCGUUUUGGGUUUAGCUCACGAUUUCGUAAUGACGUAUUAGGGUUUUCGUCCUUUUUUUGAAGAACGACCACUCGCAUAUUUUUAACGCUUGGAUUUUCGACCUUCGAAGAAAUGAGCGUAACUUAUGCUAACGGCAUCCGUUUUGGGCCCAUAAGUACUUUUUGGAAAUGUAGCGACCCUUUUGGACUACACUCACAACUUCGUCGCGACGUAUGAUGGAUUUUGACCAUUUUAUGAAGAACGUGCACCUGCAUAUUUGGAUUGACGUUGUUCGAAGAAUUUAGCAUAACUUUUGCAGACGGUGUCUGUUAUGCGACCAUAAGUACUUUUCGGAAAUGUUGCGACCAUUUAGGGUUUAGCUCACGAUUUCGUAAUGACGUAUUAGGGUUUUCGUCCUUUUUUUGAACAACGACCACUCGCAUAUUUUUAACGCUUGGAUUUUCGACCUUCGAAGAAAUGAGCGUAACUUAUGCAAACGGUGUCCGUUUUGGGUCCAGAAGUACUUUUCGGAAAUGUAGCGACCCUUUUGGACUACACUCACAACUUCGUCGUGACGUAUGAGGGAUUUUGACCAUUUUAUGAAGAUCGUGCACCUGCAUAUUUGGAUUGAUGUUGUUCGAAGAAUUGAGCUUAACUUUUGCAGACGGUGUCCGUUAUGCGACCAUAGGUACUUUUCGGAAAUGUUGCGACCAUUUAGGGUUUAGCUCAGGAUUUCGUAAUGACGUAUUAGGGUUUUCGUCCUUUUUUUGAAGAACGACCACUCGCAUGUUUUUAACGCUUGGAUUUUCGACCUUCGAAGAAAUGAGCGUAACUUAUGCAAACGGUGUCCAUUUUGUGCCCAUAAGUACUUUUCGAAAAUGUAGCGACCCUUUUGGAUUGAACUCACAACUUCGUCGUGACGUAUGAGGGAUUUUGACCAUUUUUUUAAGAACGUGCUGCUGCAUAUUUGGAUUGACAGCGUUCGAAGAAUUGAGCAGAACUUUUGCAGACGGUGUCCGUUAUGCGACCAUAGGUACUUUUCGGAAAUGUUGCGACCGUUUAGGGUUUAGCUUUUUUUUUUUUUAAGCAAAUACCACUAGUGUGGUUUAUUUUAUAUAAUGAAAAGCGGGAAAACAAAUAGAGGAGGGGGGCAUGGACCUGACCUCCAGAAAAUGUAAAUUGUAACAAAUAUUUGAAGAUAAAAUGCAAUCACAGUAAACAAGACACGAACAAAAACUAAUGAUAGGUACUCAAGGGUAUUCCCGAGGGUAAAUCUUCGGGUGGUAGUACAUAGACAUUGAUCGAGUCAUGCGUCUGGUUUGAAACAUUUCUGGAUCAUAGUAGUCUGUGAUGUCUGGCUCGCUCGUUGGAGAGGGGUCUCGCCUGCGUGUAGGAGCCCGCUUUGUUGAUAAGUACUGUUCAGAUGGUGGUGCACUGAAUGUCGGGCGAAAAGCGGGUGCAUCUGAUCUCAUUGUACUAGUCGUAGGUGUGUCUAAUCUCAUGGUGUUCUGUGCUACGACAUCUGAAUCGUGGGAGAUUGACCUGCUUGCUGUAGGGACAUCGUCUUCCGCAUUUUGCAUGCAGUUUCCAAGGCCCAUGCCAUCCAUGUCUCUCUGUAUAUGUUCUUUCACCUUAUUGUGUGUAGGAGCUGUGAUAGAAGGACUAGGUGAAGGUGUAUGCGUAGGAGUCUUACUCACAGAAGGUCCUUCUCCAAAGAGCUUAAAAACCAAGUCCUCAAUAGCAAAUCUCAUGGUAGAUCCAACUUUCAUUCCAUGGUCCUUCUUAAAGUGAUCAAUCAGCAUAUGCUUGACACCAUGUCGCUCUGAGCUGAUCUCAGCCAACAACCCCUGUGCAAGAGUGGUUUGAGGAACUGUCCCGGUACCUGAUCCCUGCGCUGAUUGAGUACUAUCUGUGUGUGUCUUUAAUGGUGGAGAACUCAUAUGUGUCGGCUCAGGGGGUACAUCAGUAGUAGCUGUGGGAAUAGGAGCUAUGGAAGUAAUAAUAGGAGAAGUGGGUACCUCGAUAGGAGCAUUUGGAGUAGGCUCAGCAACUGAAUGAAUAUACGGAGGUACCUCUGGAUCAACUGUGAUACGAGUAGAGGUAGGAACUGCCAAUGCAGAUUCUGAUUCUGUCACAACUGCGGUAGUAGUAGUGGGAAGCACAGAAGGCACUGCUGAAACUGGAACCCACUGCUUCUUUGGCUCCACAAACGUCACCUUGCCCUUAUCCUUAUCAGUCCUAGUAAUAGGGGGCCGAACAGGGGGGUGCACAACAACUGCAGGAGGAGGAGGAGGAACCGUAGUACACUGAUCAUAAGAAUGACCCAAGUGUUUACAAGAGAAGCAAAAAAUUGGCCGCUUCUCAUAGAUAACUGUCUGCCAGAAGCCACGGUUACCAGCGCGCUCAAUCCAAACCCUGUCGGGCAACUUAUGCCCCAAAUUCACCUCAAUGCACACCCUUGCCUCACUAGGUCGUCUCAAGUCGGUGGUGGCCUCAUCAAUUCUCAAGGGCAUUCCUAUUGCCCCAGAUAAGGCGAAAAGGAACCCCUUCGCACGUAAAUGUACUGGAAGCAGAGGGAACGAUACCCAUACGGGAACUAUCGGAGUCUCUUGCUCAGGUGUAAAGUCACAUGUCCACUUAAGGACUCUCAUUGGACAACCAUCAAUAUACCAUGAAGGUUUAAGAAAAAGCCUGCUG
rnacentral:lncRNA from 1 species